UACGUAGGGCGCAAGCGUUAUCCGGAAUUAUUGGGCGUAAAGAGCUCGUAGGCGGUUUGUCGCGUCUGCCGUGAAAGUCCGGGGCUCAACUCCGGAUCUGCGGUGGGUACGGGCAGACUAGAGUGAUGUAGGGGAGACUGGAAUUCCUGGUGUAGCGGUGAAAUGCGCAGAUAUCAGGAGGAACACCGAUGGCGAAGGCAGGUCUCUGGGCAUUAACUGACGCUGAGGAGCGAAAGCAUGGGGAGCGAACAGGAUUAGAAACCCGUAGUAGUCC
rnacentral:rRNA from 1 species